GACGUAGGGCGCGAGCGUUGUCCGGAUUUAUUGGGCGUAAAGAGCUCGUAGGCGGCUUGUCGCGUCGUCCGUGAAAACCUGCAGCUCAACUGCAGGCUUGCGGUCGAUACGGGCAGACUAGAGUUCGGCAGGGGAGAGCGUGGAAUCCUGGUGGUAGCGGUGAAAUGACGCAGAUAUCAGGAGGAACACCGGUGGCGAAGGCGGGUCUCUGGGCCGAUACUGACGCUGAGGAGCGAAAGCGUGGGGAGCGAACAGG
rnacentral:rRNA from 1 species